AAAGGGUAAAGAUAAAAGAAGAGAGAAGAGAGAAAGGAAGCAAAGGAAAAAGAGAAAUCCCGCAAAUAUGAUGAGAGGAGAGAGGGAGAAGUAUAAGAGGGUAAGAGAAAGAUGGAAGAAGCAAUAUAAUUAUGAUGAGAGACAGAUAAAUAGAUAGAGAGAGAGAGAGAGAGAGAGAGAGAGAGAGAGAGAGAGAGAGAGAGAGAGAGAGAGAGAGAGAGAGAGAGAGAGAGAGAGAGAGAGAGAGAGAGAGAGAGAGAGAAAUAAAAGAAAGGAAGAAAAUGGUGGAGGAAACAACGAACAUGAUGAAAGGAGAGAUAGAAGUGAAGGAAAGGAAAGGAAAAGAAAGGAAAGGGAAGGAAAGAAUAGCUGGAGGAAACAACAAAGACAAUGACAGGAGAGAGAUAUUUGAAGGAAAGGAAAGGAAAAGAAAGGAAAGGGAAGGAAAGAAUAGCUGGAGGAAACAACAAAGACAAUGACAGGAGAGAGAUAUUUGAAGGAAAGGAAAGGAAAGGAAAGGAAAGGAAAAGAAAAGAAAAGAAAAGAAAGGAAAGGGCUGGAGGUAACAACAAACACAAUAACAGGAGAGAGAGAUGUGAAGUGAAGGCAAGGAGAGGAAAGGAGGCGGCAACACACACGAUAACAGGAGACACGGAAACAAAUAAAGGAAAGAAAAACUGGAUGAACGAAAAAACACGAGUAAAGAGAGAGAGACAGUGAGAAGUAAAGUAAAGGAAAGGAAAGGUAAGGUAAGGUGGAGAAAGCUACGGGUAUACAUUCGUAGGCGAGGGAAAGGUGACAGUGAGUGAAGGGAAAUUAAGGAAAGGUAAGGUAAGGUGGAGAAAGCUACGGGUACAUAAUCGUAGACGAGGGAAAGGGGACAGUGGGUGAAGGGAAGUUAAGGAAAGGAAAGAUAAGGUAGAGAAAGCUACGGGUACAUAAUCGUAGACGAGGGAAAGGGGACAGUGGGUGAAGGGAAGUUAAGGAAAGGAAAGAUAAGGUAGAGAAAGCUACGGGUACAUAUUCGUAGGCGAGGGAAAGGGCGCGUGUGGAAGGAUGGUUCGGGUAGAUAAAAUGACUAAUUAAGGCGGGAGGGAGAAAGGUAUAAGAGGGAUUGGAUAUAAUUAGGGGCGGAUAAUAGGAUAGCCGAGAUGACACGAAAAGAAAGGGAAAGAAAAGCGGGGGUGGUGGAAAGAACGGGUUAAGAAUAGGGGGAUAGACAAUGGGUGAAAGGAUAGAGGAAUGAAUGAAGGAAGGAAAACAAAAGAGAUUGAGAUUGAUGAUAACGAAGGAAGGAUGUAAUGGGAAAAUGAUUGGAAGUUAGGGAGGAAAAGGAGUUAGAAGGGAUUGGAAUAACGAUGGGAGAUAGGAAAGAGGGAAUGGAAGAUAAAGUAGGGAGAAAGAAGGAGAAGGAGAAAGACAGAAAAAACGGACGGGAUGGAAGGAACGAAAAUGGAGGAAAGGAAGAAGGAAAGAGAGUAAAAAGGGGAUAUGAAAAACACGAAUAUGAGAGGUAGGAAGAAGGAAAGAGGAAAGGAAAGGAAAUAAGAAGGAAUAAUAGACGAAUGAAACGCAAAUGGAAGACAGAAAGAAGAAAAUUGAUAAAAAAAAGUGACGGGGAAAGGAUGGAAAGGAGGGAGGAGAAAGGGGAUAGCCAGACAGGGGAUAGAGUAACGAGAGAAGGAUAGGAUGGUGACCUGGAUCGGAGGGAGGAGGAGGAGAGGGAGGGAAACGCAGAUGAGGAGAGAAGGGAAAAAGGAGAGGCAGGAACGAUGAACGGAUAUUGACGGGAAAGGGAAAGAGAGAGAGAGAGAGAGAGAGAGAGAGAGAGAGAGAGAGAGAGAGAGAGAGAGAGAGAGAGAGAGAGAGAGAGGAGAGGAGAGGAGGGGGACGAAAGAGAGAAAGAGAGAGAGCUGGAAGGAAAUAUGUGUAGAGCGAAAAGAAAGAAAGAGAGAUAGAGAAAAGAGAGAGAGACGGAGGGCGGGCGAGGACGAAGUAAUAUCAUUUUUUCAUUUCUUUUCUCAUAACAUUUUUUUUUCCCCCGCUCUCUCUCUCUUUUUGUGCCUCGUGAUUAAUUCAUAUUUUUCCUCAUUUACCGCCUUCCUCCUCCUCCUCCUCCUCCUCUCUUCCUUCACCCUCAUUUCAUCUCCCUCGCUUCCACUUCAUCUUUUCUUCUCUUCACGGGGCCAUAUUCUCACGCACUCUAUUUUUCUCCCUUUUCCUCUCCUCCUCUUCUUCUUCCUCCUCCUCCUCCUCUGACGUCAGCAUUCUCUCUCUCUCUCUCUCUCUCUCUCUCUCUUGCAUGCUCCUCUUCUUCUUUUACCUUCUUAUAAUCCCUCCAUUUCUUUUGCUAUGCCCAGCCUUCUCCCAUCACAUCCCUCUCUCUCUCCCUUCCACCCUCUCUCCCCUCUCCCUCUUACGCCUCUUUUGUCUUAUUGACCUUUUGGAGUAGGAGGAGGAGGAGGAAGAGGAGGUGGCUUGUUCAUUGCGUGUCUGUAUUUUUGGUCUUUGUUGGUAAUGCUGCUUCUUAACCAUCAGCAUCAUCAGCAUCAUCAUCAUCAUCAUCACAUUUAGAAAGUCUGCAGCCUCAGUUCGUUAUCUGACACGCAAAAGAACCUCGUUUCUUGCCUGACUGACUGGAUAUAAUUAAUGAAAAAUGUAUCGAGGUUAAGUUUAUAUUCUGCUUGCUUUAUUGGGCGUGGCACUGUCUCUGUGUGUGUGUGCGUGUGUGUGUGUGUGUGUGUGUGUGUGUGUGUGUGUGUGUGUGUAGGUGUGAUAUUAGUCGCGUCUCAUGGUGAUAUAAAGUACCUGUCAGUUCGGUCGCUUUUAAUAAUACAUGAGUGGAAUUGUUGUUCUCUCUCAGUCUACGUGUCUUGGCUUUUGAUAAGGAGGUGUGCGUGUGCCUGUGUGUGUGUGUGUGUGUGUGUGUGUGUGUGUGUGUGUGUGUGUGUGUGUGUGUGUGUGGCCAUUACCUGCGAAAAAGGUCACCUGUUUACUAGUGGGUGAUUAUGGUGCUUUUUACGAGAUGCAAAUACCGAGCACAGGUGAGCGUAGGAGUACAGCUAAGGUAGCCAAUGAGAGGGAACGGGUGUGGGAGGGAGGUAGAUAGAAAGAUAGAAAGGGGAAAGGUUAGUGUAGGUGGGCGGUAAGCAAUAAGAAGGAACAGAGGGAGAUAGAGAAAGGGGGAAGGAUACUCCGAGUGGGCGAUCACUAUUGAGAGAGCGGAGUGACAGAAAAUGGGAAAGGUUACUGUAGGUGGGCGCUAACCAAUGAGAUGGAACGGGGGAAGGGGAUAGAGAAAAGGGGAAGGUUAGCUUAGAUGGAUGGUAAGUAAUGAGAGAGGGAACUAAAGGGAGGGGGGAGAAAUAGGGAAGGGGGAAAGCGUAGUUCAGGUGGGCGGUAACCAGAGGGAAUGGGCGAAAUGGGGAAGGGGGAAAGGUAAGGUAAGCUCAGGUGGGCGGAAACCAGAGGGAAUGGGGGAAAUGAGGAAGUGGGAAAGGUAAGCUCAGGUGGGCGGUAACCAGAGGGAAUGGGCGAAAUGGGGAAGGGGGAAAAGAAAGGUAAACUCAGGUGGGCGGUAAGUUAUUGCUAGCUAACUUAAAGAACAUUCCUAGUGCAGCCAAGAGCGUUGAAGAAUACCAAAGUCGAUUAUAUAGUUACGCUGCGUUGUCCCUCACUGUCACUUUGUUAGAUACGCUCUGUCCUCGUCGGUCCCUUUCCUCUGUCUGUCUGUCUGUCUGUGUCUCCCCCCCCCCCUCCCCCACACACCAAAACUAAUAAAGACAAUUACAUAAGCACUAUUACCUCGCUAUCGGUUCGUAUUAAUAACGCAAUGAUAUUACGACCCCACAAAAAAAAGGUUAUUGUCGAUGAGAGAGAGAGAGAGAGAGAGAGAGAGAGAGAGAGAGAGAGAGAGAGAGUUUGUAUUUCAUCUUAUUAAUAUAUCUUUGGGGGGACGGUAUAAUUUUUUGUCGCUUCAGGUGUGUAACAGGUAAGGAGCAAUAACAGGCAAGGAAGACACUCCAGGGUGGUUAAGUGACGUUGAGGACAGACUUCAGGUGAGAUAAACGACGUCCAAGUGGGUGGAUUCCGGGAGGCGAGUGCGUGAGUGAGGCAGGUGUGUGUGUGUGUGAGGGGGGGGGAGGAGGAGGGGAGGGGGGAGAUUAAUGAGGCCGCCGUUAAAUUAAUUAUACGAACCUUGUCAGUGUGAUAAUUAAAGGUCAAGAACAACAUUUUCCUCACCAUGCACAGAGACAGGAUAAGAAGAAGUAUCUCGUGUGGGCAAUAAUAAAAGGUCAUAUUUUUAAACGUAUCGACACUUCCGUUCGCCUCUUUGAAAAUCCUCUCGUAAACGUUGCUGGGGUUUUCAUGGAGUGUUUUGUAAUCCUCCUCGUGAUAGUUUUACACGACUUCUUCACUAUGGACGGGAAAAACAGCCAUGAAAAUACGGUUACUUUUCUUUGUAGCCUUUAGAAACAGUCGUAGUGGAAGCCUUAUACUUUUAAAACAAUAUGAACCUAAGUUUAUGGACGAGAAAAACACUCACGAAAAUCCGGUUACUCUUCUCUGUGGCCUUGAGAGAAUAGUCGUAUAGUGGAAGCCUUAUACUUUUAAAACAAUAUGAACCUAAGUUUAUGGACUGGAAAAACACUCACGAAAAUCCGGUUACUUUUCUUUGUUGCCUUUAGAAACAGUCGUAUAGUGGAAGCCUUAUACUUUUAAAACAAUAUGAACCUAAG